UACGAAGGGGGCUAGCGUUGUUCGGAAUUACUGGGCGUAAAGGGCGCGUAGGCGGCGUGACAAGUCACUUGUGAAAUCUCCGGGCUUAACUCGGAACGGUCAAGUGAUACUGUCGGACUAGAGUACAGAAGGGGCAACUGGAAUUCUCGGUGUAGCGGUGAAAUGCGUAGAUAUCGAGAGGAACACCUGCGGCGAAGGCGGGUUGCUGGGCUGAUACUGACGCUGAGGCGCGAAAGCCAGGGGAGCGAACGGG
rnacentral:rRNA from 1 species